UGGGGAAUCUUGCGCAAUGGGGGAAACCCUGACGCAGCGACGCCGCGUGGAGGAUGAAGGUCUUCGGGUUGUAAACUCCUUUUCUUGGGGAAAAUGAUGAUGGUACUCAAGGAAUAAGCCACGGCUAACUCUGUGCCAGCAGCCGCGGUAAGACAGAGGUGGCGAGCGUUGUUCGGAAUUAUUGGGCUUAAAGGGCGAGUAGGCGGUAGAGCAAGUCUGAGGUGGAAUCCUAUGGCUUAACCAUAGAACUGCCUUAGAAACUGCUUUACUUGAGUCAGUGAGGGGAGGGCGGAAUUCCUGGUGUAGCGGUGAAAUGCGUAGAUAUCAGGAGGAAGGCCUGUGGCGAAAGCGGCCCUCUGGCACUGUACUGACGCUGAGGCGCGAAAGCGUGGGGAGCAAACAGGAUUAGAUACCCUGGUAGUCCACGCCCUAAACGGUGGGCAUUAGGUGUAGGGCUCGUAAGGGUUCUGUGCCGAAGGGAAACCAUUAAAUGCCCCGCCUGGGGAGUACGGCCGCAAGGUUG
rnacentral:rRNA from 1 species